AUUGAACGCUGGCGGCAGGCCUAACACAUGCAAGUCGAACGAGUGGCGGACGGGUGAGCAAUGUCUUGGAAACUGCCUGAUGGAGGGGGAUAACUACUGGAAACAGUAGCUAAUACCGCAUACCAUCGGAUGUGCCCAGAUGGGAUUAGCUAGUAGGUGGGGUAACGGCUCACCUAGGCGACGAUCCCUAGCUGGUCUGAGAGGCUGACCAGCCACACUGGAACUGAGACACGGUCCAGACUCCUACGGGAGGAAGCAGGUGGGAAUAUUGGACAAUGGGCGCAAGCCUGAUGCAGCCAUGCCGCGUGUGUGAAGAAGGCCUUCGGGUUGUAAAGUACUUUCAGCGAGGAGGCGUUACUCGCAGAAGAAGCACUGGCUAACUCCGUGCCAGCAGCCGCGGUAAUUC
rnacentral:rRNA from 1 species